CGGCCAACGGGCCGCCACACACACACACACGACCGGAUCGAGCCCGUUGCGUAUCGAACUUGGUUUGAGCUCGAGCAGCGAGUCGAUCCGUGCCAUUGCCCAGCC
rnacentral:pre_miRNA from 12 species